GGCCCUGUCCAGUGAUAUAAAUUCAACGGCCGCGGUAUAUUGACCGUGCAAAGGUAGCAUAAUCAUUAGUCUUUUAAUAGGGGGCUGGUAUGAAAGGUUAAACGAAACAUUAACUGUCUUAUUUAUAAAUAUUAAAAUUUAACUUUUAAGUCAAAAGGCUUAAAUUUUUUUGGAGGACGAGAAGACCCUAUAGAGCUUUACAUUAUAUUUUUUAAUAUUUCUUGGUUGAAUAUUUUGAUAUUAAUUUAUCUAUUGUUUUGUUGGGGUGACAAUAAAAUAUGAUUAACUUUUUAUAAAACUUACAUUUAUUUAUGAAUUUUUGAUCCAAUAUUAUUGAUCAUUAGAUUAAGUUACCUUAGGGAUAACAGCGUAAUCUUUCUUAGGAGUUCAAAUUUACAGAAAGGCUUGCGACCUCGAUGUUGGAUUAAGAUAAUAGUUAGGUGCAGUAGC
rnacentral:rRNA from 1 species